CCCGGGUGCUCCCCCCCCAGCUGCACCCCAGCCCUUUUUAUUUUUUUGUUUUGGGGCAGAGUCUCACUAAGUGGCUGAGGUCGGCCUCCAACCUGCCAUUCCCCUGCCUCAGAGGCCUCCCGGGGAACCCAGGCAGGAAGCCGGCGCGUGGAGUCCAGAUGCUGCCCGAGGGGCUGGGGGAGGCCCCAGGCCGGGGAACCAGCCCUCCCUCGGCAGGUCACGUUGGGAGCCCUGGUGAGCCGGUGUGGCAGGGCAGGGGAGGGCACUGGCAAUCUGCCCGAGGCGGCAUGACUUGUCUCCUUCCCUGUGGGAGCCACGGCACCAUCGUCAUUACCAUUGUUGACAUGAGAGUCUCAAAUCCAACGCUCACAUUCUACAGGGGACGGGGGAAGGUCAAGCAACCUCUUCAAGGCCACACAGCAGCAGCCCAAGCCCAGGCUUGCUGGCCCAGGGCCACCACGCUGGGGGAUCCCCUGCGGGCGACACGCCGAGCAGCAGGGAGAGGGGCUGCCCGACCUCCAGCCCAGGAGCGCGAGCAGAGGCCACUGCUGGCUCCUCCAGUCAGCCCGGGCAGUGUCCAGCGCUUCCUCUGUGUCUCCUGGAAGGAAACUGGCUUCUCAGGUGACCCUGUGGCCAGAGGUGGCACAGCAGGGCCAGGCCCAGCCUGAUCUGGGAGCCAGGGCUCCUCCCUGCCCUGGGCCACCUCCUCGUCAGCAGGCCCCUGACCGGGAGGCCCUGAGGUUUCCCGGCCACCCCGGCUUUGUGGAUCUGCGCCUUUCCACGCCAGGAACCACCCGGAAAAGCGGGUUAGGCCAGGAGCGGAGCCUGGCGCCGCGGAGGGGCUCAGAUGUGGUGUGUGGCAGGGCCCUUGCCAAUGUGCUACCGCGGCGAGGUGACAGCUCCUGGGCCCGGAGUCACUCAGAGCAGUCACCGCAGGAGGGGGCGGCCCAGUUCUCGGCCUGGCGUGCGGCCAGCUGCUCCGGCUCCCACCUCGCUGCCCUUGGGGCUGCUCUGGCCUGGCCAGCCGGGCUCCCCCGCCCCAGAGUCAAUAUUGACACGCGGCCGCCUGCCACCCAGGAGGGCCGAGGGCGCUGGCACCGAGAAGCACACAGCUCCCGGGUUUCGGCUCAAUUGCUGCGAGGAGAGAUGAGAAAUUGCCUUCCUGACCCAAAGCUGGAGUUCACAGCUGCACUUCAUUAGGAUUUCUCCAGGAGGCCCUGGGAGGCCGGCCGGGCUCACCUGUUAACAGCAGCUGCGCGCAUGAGCGGCGGCUUCCUGCCGGGGGCGGCACAGGCCGGCUGCCAGCCUCACCCAGCCCCCUCGCCGCCCUCUGCCAGUCUGCAUUAACUCAGCCAUGGAGGGAGAAGAGGAAGCAGCCACAGGACUGGGCUGGCUGUCCCUGGAACAUUCCAGAAGGUGAGGGGCAGGUCUCCUUCUGGGGUCCACCUCAUCUCUCUGGGUCAGGUGCCUGCAGCAUCUCUGGGUACACAGCAAGUGCUCCAUAAACGCUCCCUCCCGUUGUCCCUCGCAGCUGCCUCUUGCGCCACUGAAACGCGCCCAAUCCACGCCGUCAUUUUAAAAACACGGGACCGUGCCACAGGGUUCUCCCCGGGCUGCGCGGUCAUGUCUUCUGAAUGGAGGGCUUUUGGAAAGGUCUGGAAGGCGGCUGAAUCCCAGAAUCCUUGAGGUGGGGCCCAGCACCCUCCCAAAGCUCCUGAGGCCAGCACAGCAGGGUGCCACUCAGCUGGGGUGUCAUCUGCCCUGGAAGUCUGCAUGUUCUUUCCCAGGAGAGUCCGGGCAGGUGGCCAGCAGAGGGGGAGGGGGCCGGACACCAGACUGCCUGGCCCUGCCCCCAGGCUUGCUCCCCCUCCACGCUAAGUUUGAGUCAUGGCCCCUAAUGUGAGUCCCAGCACAGGUCCCACGUGUGCCACGGUGCCCCGAGUCCACCCUGGAGGACGAAGCAGAUCAGGCUGCUGUGUGAACACAGAAGCUGUGUGGCCCUGGGCAAGUCACUUGGGCUCUCUGGGCCUUGGCUGACAAGCUCUUCCUGCUCGGGUGGAAGCAGGGUUUGGGCUCAGUGUCUGUGGCUGGAGACAGGGUUCUGGAGGAGCCGGGCCUGCAGGGCCUCAGCUGCCUCAGCUGGGACUUGGGAAUGCACCCACCUGCUGUGAGGGCAGCUGUGAGGGCAAGGCGAGGUCCCCAGGGAGAGUGAGGGGACGGCUCGCAGCACCAGCACCAAAAGCGCCAUCCCGGGUCUUCUGCCCUCAGGACACACCCUGUGGUCUGCUUCCAGCAGCCCGUGUCCAAGGGAAGAAAGCUGAGGACCGAGGGGUCACUUGCCAAGGUCAGGUGUGAGCCCGGAACUGUGGAGCCCAGUUCUUGGCCCACCCAGGCUCAUGGGGCGUCCUCCAUGGCUGAGGGGACCUCGGGAUGGCCAGAGCCGAGGGGCUCCCCAGAAGGAGCCCAGGCCACGAGGGCUGGAGGGAGUCUCCCAUGAGGUCCAGGGACAGAGCAGGCCAGGAGGGCCCUGGUGCGGGGCCCAGGAGGCCGUGGGAGGGCGCCGGUGGGAGAAGGCCUGGGGCGUCCACGGGUCCAGGCUGGGUCAGGGCCGGCUCCGGAGCUGGAGCAGUGGAGCCCCUGACGUGGUGGACCGAGGGGCAGGUGAGGGAAUCCCUGUCUGAGCAGGGGGAGAGGUCACCUGGGGACAGCAGAGGCGGGAGCGAGAGGCAGGUGUGGGCGCCUGGGGACGCAGAUGAGGACGCCCAGGCUCAGGGAGAUGGGCGACUGUGGCAGCUCACGGGGCCCUCCAUGGCCCCUGUCCCCAGGCCCAGCUCGGAGCCGGCCUCACCGCGACCCGAGCCAACAGGCGCUGGCCCAGCCCCUGGAACGCGUCCCCUCCUCAGGCCUCGACAGCUGGGCCGUGAGCGCUGGCCGAUCCCCACUUCACAGACGGGAAACUGAGGCCCCAAGCAGAUUAGCCACUGCCCGGGGUCUCGGGGGCGGUCAAGGCAGACCCAGGAGGCCACCAGAGCCCUGGUCUUCACGGGGAGCAGAGGCCGAUCGGGGCCAGGCGUCUUGGCAAGCACAGGCCUCCAGCCACGGCACCUCCUCCCAGACGGGACCCCACCCAGUCCCAACCCGCUGGCAGGCAGGGCCCCGAGGCUCCCUGGGCAGGGUGAAGCCCACAGGAGGAAUGGCAGCUCUGAUCCGGCAGCUGAUAUUUACAUACCGUCUGCGCACCAGGCACUGUUCCAAACAGCCCCUACCCAGGAACCCCGAGCCUGUCAGGUAAACACCGUUGGUUGUCCACUUCACAGAUGGGAUGCCCGUGGCACAGAGAGGUCAGGAGACCUGUCUGAGGACACACAGCCUUUGGGUGUCAGCCCUGGGAUCUGAACCCAUCAGCCUGGCCCCAGAGAGCUGUGGGGUUGGCCCCCAGCAGAAACCUGGAGGGGCGGUGUAGGUGCGGGGGGCCAGUCAGGAGCAGGCCAGUCGCCGGACGUGGAGGGGGGCUGGGGAAGCUCUCCCUCCUGCCGGGAGAGGGCCGCUGCUGCUGGCACACUCCCUGAGAGGCCAGGCCUUGCAAGGGAAGCAGAAAUCUGUCGUUAACACCGUGCCAAACCCAAAGUGGCUGCUCCCGGACUGCAAUCCAAUAAAAGUGCGACUUGUCUAUUUAUCAUCCUCGGGGCGUUUA
rnacentral:lncRNA from 1 species